rnacentral:lncRNA from 1 species
AAUUACCUUAUCUUGGGCUAGCUUUAGCACCCCAGAGCAGCCAUUCCUUACUUUGUGUUCCGAGCUAACAUCCUGUUACUAACAGAUUAAAGAUCCUUGGAAUCUAUUGACCUCACAGGCCCACUAAGUUCCAUCAACAGAAAAGGGACCACAAGAGUGCACCACCUUUCCUGGAGCUGAAGUUACAGAAGGUUAUGAGCUACUGUGUUGGUUCUGGAAACAAGACCUAGGGUCCUCUGCAAAAGCAGCAGAAUACUUAUUUGCUGAGGACACAACUGCUGAAAUCACUCACUGCUGGAAGUAUUAUCACACAGGACUGACCCCAGCCCAUCCUUUGCCAUCUAAAGCCAACAGCAUGGCUCUACAAACCUUACCAGCUAGCAGUCAGCUUAACACUAUCAGGAUUUCUGUAAGUGUUCUGUUGUUAAAGCCAUAUCCUUGUGGGUUUAAUUACAAAAUAAGCAAGACAGCUUGGGUAAAUACGCUGCAGCAAGAAAUACAGACUCUUCCGCAUGAUGGAUGGUGGUCCUUUUAAAACUCGGCUCCGGGUCCUCUCUCCCACCAGUGUAAGUGGAGUGGGGAUAGACUGGCAGGUUCUGGAUGCUUUAAUUUAAAAAAUAAAAAUAC